rnacentral:rRNA from 1 species
CGGCGUCGAGCGGCGGACGGGUGAGUAAUGCCUAGGAAAUUGCCCUGAUGUGGGGGAUAACCAUUGGAAACGAUGGCUAAUACCGCAUAAUACCUACGGGUCAAAGAGGGGGACCUUCGGGCCUCUCGCGUCAGGAUAUGCCUAGGUGGGAUUAGCUAGUUGGUGAGGUAAUGGCUCACCAAGGCGACGAUCCCUAGCUGGUCUGAGAGGAUGAUCAGCCACACUGGAACUGAGACACGGUCCAGACUCCUACGGGAGGCAGCAGUGGGGAAUAUUGCACAAUGGGCGCAAGCCUGAUGCAGCCAUGCCGCGUGUGUGAAGAAGGCCUUCGGGUUGUAAAGCACUUUCAGUCGUGAGGAAGGUAGUGUAGUUAAUAGCUGCAUUAUUUGACGUUAGCGACAGAAGAAGCACCGGCUAACUCCGUGCCAGCAGCCGCGGUAAUACGGAGGGUGCGAGCGUUAAUCGGAAUUACUGGGCGUAAAGCGCAUGCAGGUGGUUUGUUAAGUCAGAUGUGAAAGCCCGGGGCUCAACCUCGGAAUAGCAUUUGAAACUGGCAGACUAGAGUACUGUAGAGGGGGGUAGAAUUUCAGGUGUAGCGGUGAAAUGCGUAGAGAUCUGAAGGAAUACCGGUGGCGAAGGCGGCCCCCUGGACAGAUACUGACACUCAGAUGCGAAAGCGUGGGGAGCAAACAGGAUUAGAUACCCUGGUAGUCCACGCCGUAAACGAUGUCUACUUGGAGGUUGUGGCCUUGAGCCGUGGCUUUCGGAGCUAACGCGUUAAGUAGACCGCCUGGGGGAGUACGGUCGCAAGAUUAAAACUCAAAUGAAUUGACGGGGGCCCGCACAAGCGGUGGAGCAUGUGGUUUAAUUCGAUGCAACGCGAAGAACCUUACCUACUCUUGACAUCCAGAGAACUUUCCAGAGAUGGAUUGGUGCCUUCGGGAACUCUGAGACAGGUGCUGCAUGGCUGUCGUCAGCUCGUGUUGUGAAAUGUUGGGUUAAGUCCC